UGGGGAAUUUUGGACAAUGGGCGAAAGCCUGAUCCAGCAAUGCCGCGUGUGUGAAGAAGGCCUUCGGGUUGUAAAGCACUUUUGUCCGGAAAGAAAUCCUUGGCUCUAAUACAGUCGGGGGAUGACGGUACCGGAAGAAUAAGCACCGGCUAACUACGUGCCAGCAGCCGCGGUAAUACGUAGGGUGCAAGCGUUAAUCGGAAUUACUGGGCGUAAAGCGUGCGCAGGCGGUUUGCUAAGACCGAUGUGAAAUCCCCGGGCUCAACUGGGAACUGCAUUGGUGACUGGCAGGCUAGAGUAUGGCAGAGGGGGGUAGAAUUCCACGUGUAGCAGUGAAAUGCGUAGAGAUGUGGAGGAAUACCGAUGGCGAAGGCAGCCCCCUGGG
rnacentral:rRNA from 1 species